GGAUUAGAUACCCUGGUAGUCCACGCUGUAAACGAUGAGUGCUAGUUGUCGGGGGUAUCGACCCCUCCGGUAACGAAGUAAACGCGUUAAGCACUCCGCCUGGGGAGUACGGUCGCAAGAUUAAAACUCAAAGGAAUUGACGGGGGCCCGCACAAGCGGUGGAGCAUGUGGUUUAAUUCGAUGCAACGCGAAGAACCUUACCUGCCUUUGACAUCCUGAGAAUCCCAUAGAGAUAUGGGAGUGCUCUUCGGAGAACUUGGAGACAGGUGCUGCAUGGCUGUCGUCAGCUCGUGUUG
rnacentral:rRNA from 1 species